CCUACGGGGCGCAGCAGUAGGGAAUAUUGCUCAAUGGGGGAAACCCUGAAGCAGCAACGCCGCGUGGAGGAUGAAGGUUUUCGGAUUGUAAACUCCUUUUGUUAGAGAAGAUAAUGACGGUAUCUAACGAAUAAGCACCGGCUAACUCCGUGCCAGCAGCCGCGGUAAUACGGAGGGUGCAAGCGUUACUCGGAAUCACUGGGCGUAAAGAGCGCGUAGGCGGGAUAGCAAGUCAGAUGUGAAAUCCUAUGGCUUAACCAUAGAACUGCAUUUGAAACUGUUAUUCUAGAGUAUGGGAGAGGUAGGUGGAAUUCUUGAUGUAGGGGUAAAAUGCGUAGAGAUCAAGAGGAAUACUCAUUGCGAAGGCGACCUGCUAGAACAUAACUGACGCUGAUGCGCGAAAGCGUGGGGAGCAAACAGGAUUAGAUACCCCAGUAGUC
rnacentral:rRNA from 1 species